rnacentral:lncRNA from 1 species
AAUUUUCUAAGUAGAUUUUGGGUUUAUUUGUAUAUGUAAAUAUAUCUGUUUUUGGGUAUUUUGCUUUGUAAACUUCGGCAUCCGAAAGCAUGUGUCGUUCAAAAUUUAUGCCAUCUUCCACAGUGCAAUUGUUUUUUCAGUGUUGCUUCUUAAUAGCAGUUGUUGCUAGAUUUCUUGGUUUAUUUAUUUUUUCUUUUGUAAUAAGGUCUCUCUCUCUCUCUCUCUCUCUCCCUCUCUCUCUCUCUCUCUCUCCAAUAUGCUUCUUCUCUCUUAUCAUGUCUUCAUCUUCUCUUUCUUUAUAUAUUUCCUCUUUUAUUAAAUUUUGUGGAAAUUAGGUUAUGAGUUUUUAUUUUUGUGGAAAUUAGGUUAGGAACGUAAUUGCAUCAUGGAAUUAUUUAUUUGUCUAUGUUUUGUAUUGAAUUAAGACUCGAUGUUUCAGAGAGCAACCAAAAAGCUUGGGUUUGGUUACUGGGGAGUGGAUGAGUUUGGUUCAUAAUUCAGUUUUCCAAAAUUCAAACUUUAGUUUGUUGAAUGAGUGGAUUGUUCGAUUUAAUUUGGUGAAUGCUGGAAAUUAAAUUUCGGUUAACUAAAGUAAUUGAAACGUAUUUAGCAAAUUCAUGAUGAUGCAUGGAUAUAUGUGAUUAAUGACAAGAAGCAGCAAUUAAAUUAAAAGCCCUUUUAACUUCCCAAUAAAUUACUCCCUUUCCGUAUGAAUUUAAAUUUUCAUUAAAUUAUCAAAGAAUGAAAAAAAAAAAACAAGUCUGAACUGAUGCUAUCCGGAGUAACACCAAACGCAGUAUAACUUAGUCAAACUAUUUAUCUGGAAUAACACCAAGCGCCUUAUAAUAUUAUGGAUAAAUAGUCAGUACUCUCCGAAACAUAUUAAUAUUAUCCGACAGAAAUUAGUCAGUACAUUCCAAUAUACCAAACGAGCCCUAAAAGUCAUCAUCAAUAAACAUGUAAUGAAAAAAACAUACCUUACUAUCUAAAAAUCAUUCACAUUGUAUUUGAAAUCUUUAUUUGAAGAAUUAAAACUAGUACAAGAGUUUUUUCCCC